AACGAACGCUGGCGGCGUGCCUAACACAUGCAAGUCGAACGCGAAAGCCCGCAAGGGUUAGUAGAGUGGCGCACGGGUGAGUAAUAUAUGGGCAAUCUGCCCUCGAGUGGGGGAUAACGUUCCGAAAGGAGCGCUAAUACCGCAUGACCCGAAUUGGACACAUGUCCUUUACGGCAAAGAUGGCCUCUGCUUGCAAGCUAUCGCUUGAGGAGGAGCCCGUAUCCCAUUAGGUAGUUGGUAAGGUAACGGCUUACCAAGCCUACGAUGGGUAGCCGGCCUGAGAGGGUGACCGGCCACACUGGCACUGACACACGGGCCAGACUCCUACGGGAGGCAGCAGUGAGGAAUUUUGGGCAAUGGGGGAAACCCUGACCCAGCGACGCCGCGUGGGCGAUGAAGGUCUUCGGAUCGUAAAGCCCUGUGAGUGGGGAAGAAGGGAUUGGUUGCUAAUAUCAGCCUAAUUUGACAGUACCCACAGAGGAACG
rnacentral:rRNA from 1 species